rnacentral:lncRNA from 1 species
GGCUGAAUAACAGUUCGGAACAAUAAUUCUUUGCUUUCCUCCUUUAUUACAGGUCCCACUGACAAGUUAGCCUGGAGUGCCCUUUCAGGUUUCCACCCCGAGUCGUUGGCCCCAUCCUGUUCACACAGAUUAAGAGGAAGGAAAAAAAGCAUCCCAAGAAAAUGAAAGAGCCGUUCUGUUUCUUACACAUCUGUAGCUUAUUAAGGAGACCAUCAUAACUGAAGACACUCUGACCAAGCAACUUCAGGUUUCCUCUGGUAAAUCAUGAAUAUCCAGUGGUAUCAGAGACUAACAGGAUGGCAUUAAUCACCAGCAAACUGGCAGCAGUGGUGGUAGCCAGCAUGGUGUGAAGUGUGUUAUUUGCUGCAAACACCCUUGGAGGACUGAGAAAUUGCCUAAGAAGCCUAAGUCAUUUGAAGAGAUUGUGGCAUGUUAGAACU